GAUGAACGCUGGCGGCGUGCCUAACACAUGCAAGUCGAGCGAUUUACUUCGGUAAAGAGCGGCGGACGGGUGAGUAACGCGUGGGUAACCUGCCCUGUACACACGGAUAACAUACCGAAAGGUAUGCUAAUACGAGAUAAUAUGCUUUUAUCGCAUGGUAGAAGUAUCAAAGCUUUUGCGGUACAGGAUGGACCCGCGUCUGAUUAGCUAGUUGGUGAGGUAACGGCUCACCAAGGCGACGAUCAGUAGCCGACCUGAGAGGGUGAUCGGCCACAUUGGAACUGAGACACGGUCCAAACUCCUACGGGAGGCAGCAGUGGGGAAUAUUGCACAAUGGGGGAAACCCUGAUGCAGCAACGCCGCGUGAAGGAUGACGUAUUUCGGUAUGUAAAGCUCUAUCAGCAAGGAAGAAAAUGACGGUACUUGACUAAGAAGCCCCGGCUAACUACGUG
rnacentral:rRNA from 1 species